rnacentral:rRNA from 1 species
GAUGAACGCUAGCGGUGUGCCUAAUGCAUGCAAGUCGAACGGGAUCCUUUGGAUUCGUCUGAAGGUGAGAGUGGCGAACGGGUGAGUAACACGUAGGUGACCUGCCCCGGAGAGGGGGACAACCACUGGAAACGGUGGCUAAUACCCCAGAUGUUAUUGCGCUUAGAAAGCAAUUACUAAAGUUCCGGCGCUCCCGGAGGGGCCUGCGGCCCAUCAGCUUGUUGGUAAGGUAAUGGCUUACCAAGGCUAAGACGGGUAGGGGGCGUGAGAGCGUGACCCCCCCACACUGGUACUGAGACACGGACCAGAUACCUGCGGGUAGCAGCAGCAAGGAAUAUUGCCCAAUGGACGAAAGUCUGAGGCAGCAACACCGCGUGGAGGAUGAAGGCCUGGUGUAACUCUUUCUGGGAGAGAAGGACGGUACCCAGGAAUAAGUCUCGGCUAACUACGUGCCAGCAGCCGCGGU